rnacentral:lncRNA from 1 species
AGCCCUCGGUCGGCGGGAAGGAGCAGCUCUGGCAUGUGGGGAUCUCCGGCACCAACAGAUAUUUUGAUGGCAUGACAAAUCAGAAAGAAGAGGAUGUACUGUAUGACUAGACACAAGAUCAGUUCUGUUUGUGGAUUACAUUUUCAGUAAGAUGACAGCUAGCAAUACUGGUGCACACCCCAUCGAGAGCAAGACAAGGCAGAGGGAAGGUAUGGGAGGCCGUACUUGCAGGAGGUGAGUGAUUUGAUACUUCUCCCAGAGCCUCUCUCAGGGUGCUCCUGCAAGGCCUUAAUUGAAACUGAA